rnacentral:misc_RNA from 1 species
CAGGGAUAUGACAGAAGAUCUCCUUAAUACACCCCCUCAAGAUGGUGGUUGAUCUGAAACACCAAUCUUGGAAAGAAAACGCCCAAAGUCAGAGCGUGGAAGAGCUUUAGUAAGCACAUCCGCCAAUUGAUCUUGACUAGAAAUAUGAGAGACACGAAGUUUACCCAACUGAACUAGUUGACGAACAAAGUGGUAAUUGAUCUCUAAAUGUUUCAUACGAGAGUGAAAAAUAGGUUUGGUAGUUACAUAAGUUGCUCCAAGAUUAUCACAAUAAAUGACUAGUGGCUUAGACAAUGGAACAGCUAGCUCCAACAGAAGAUUGCGAAUCCAACAAAGUUCAGAUGCAGUGGCAGAAAUGGAGCGAUAUUCCACUUCUGUCGAUGAUUUGGCAACCACACGUUGCUUCUUAGAGCUCCAUGAAAUAGGAUUUUUGCCCAAGAAGACAACAUAAGCUGAAGUAGAAUACCGAACAUCUUUAUCGCCACCCCAAUUAGAAUCCGAUAAGGCAUGAAGAACCAGAGAAGAAUGACGAUGAAAUUGCAGACCUUUAUCAAUGGUGCCAAUAAGAUAGCGAAUAACUCUUUUAACUGCAGCCCAAUGAUUAACAGUAGGAGUAGCAGAAAAUUGUGCUAGCUUGUUUACAGCAAAAGCAAUAUCUGGCCGAGUGAGCCCAAGUUAAUGUAGAGAGCCAACAAUUGUACGAUAUUCAGAGGGAUUAUCCAAUAAGGCACUGUCAUUGAGAGACAAAGAGUUACCGACAGCAAGCGGAGUAGGAACUGGUUUUGCACCAGUCAUUAAAGUCCGAUCAACUAUGUCCUCAAUAUACUUCCGUUGAGAAAGAAACAAACCAUGAUCAGUUCUAACAACCUUCACACCCAGAAAGUAAUUCAAAGAGCCAAGAUCUUGAAUAGAAAAUCGAUGCCCAAGUUUGUUGAUAAACUGAUUAAUAAACUUAAUAUCAUUACCUAUCACAAUGAGAUCAUCAACAUAGACAACCAAAUAGAGAGUAACACCAGCAGUGGAGCGAAUAAAUAAGCAAUGAUCUGAAUUGGACAUUUUAAAACCCAAAGAGAAUAAAUAAUCUCGUAAUUCUGAGUACCAAGCCCGAGGUGCCUACUUAAGACCAUAAAUGGCCUUGUGAAGCUUACACACAUAAUUGGGUCAAGAGACAUCAACAAAGCCUUUUGGUUGAGCCAUGAAGACAUCCUCUAUGAGCUGCCCAUGAAGGAAUGCAUUAUUAACAUCAAGCUGCCGCAAAGGCCAAUUAGCAGCCACUACAAUGGACAAGAGUACGCGAACAGUAGUAUGCUUGGCAACCAGAGAAAAUAUUUCAAUGUAAUCAAUUCCAGGCCUCUGAGUGAACCCCUGAGCAAUAAACCUAGCUUUAUAAUUGUUAAGAGUCCCAACUGAAUUUUCUUUAAUUCAAAAAAUCCACUUAGAACCAAUUAAAUGCUGAGAGGAAUCUGGUGGAACAAGAGACCAUGUUCCUUGACGCAUUAAAGCUUCAUAUUCAUUCUGCAUAGCAGACCUCUAGUCCGGAUCAUUAAGAGCUUGAGUGACUGUUCUGGGCUCUCUUUUGGUUUUGUGAAAAGGGGAAGUGGUGGUUAUUUGAGUGGUUAAGCACAUCUUUUGAAUUGGUUUUCUAAUAUUGUUUUUGGCUCUUGUAAGCAUGGGAUGGUUAUUUGUGGGAAUGGAGUCACUUGACAAAGGCAUUGCAGCUUCAGUGAUAGGUAGGGAUUAAGACUGUGUAGGAGUAGGAAAAGAAGUGGGUGGUGAAUCUGCAAAAGAGGAAACAACAUAUGGGGAAGAAAGCAAUUAGUGCUCAUACCUGAUAAAUGCUCAGUUGUAUCAGAAGAAUUAUUAAUGCCGCUGGGCACCACAGUAGACAGUGAAGGAGUGGAGGAGCUGGCCAAAACAGGUGGUAUCGAAUGAGAAAGAGGUAGCACAUAGUGAGGAACCCAAUCUUGCACAACAUUCUCAUGGACCCGAGGUUGAAAACAUGUCAACUAAGCAAAUGGAAACUGAUCCUUAACAAAGUCCACGUGACGAGAGACAAAAAUUUUAGAGGAAGAGGGAUCUAGACACAAGUAGGCACUCUGAUUUUGAGAGUAACCCAAGAAGACACACGGCCUUGAGCGCGGCUCUAAUUUGUGUUUGGAGUAUGGCCGAAGCCAAGGGAAACAUAGACAACCGAACACACGUAAUUUUUAAUAAUUGGGUAAAGACCCAAAGAUGCGCAAAUAUGGUGAGUCAUUAUUUAAAAUAGGUGUGGGCAUACGAUUUAUAAGAUAAACGGCAGUCUGAAAUGCAUAGGACCAGUAAGAGAGAGGCAAUUUUGCAUUAUGCAACAGGGUAAGUCCUAUUUCUACGAUAUGUCAGUGACGACAUUCAGCCAUACCAUUAUGUUCAGGAGUGUGUGGUGGGGUAAGGAAAUGGGAAAUGCCAUGUGAAGAAAGAAAAUCACGUAGAUGAAUGAAUUCACCCCCAUUAUCAAAAUAUAGAGAAAUAAUUUGACGAUUGAAGAAUUUUUCAACAGUGGCUUUAAAUUUUGGAAAAAUAGAAGAAACAUCAGACUUGGCCUUUAAUGGAUAUAACCACACAUAUUUAGUAAAAUGAUCAGCAAAAAUUAGGUAGUAUUUGUAACCAUUGACAUCAGAAAGGGGAGCAGGUCCCCACACAUCAGAAUAAAUAAAUUCCAAAGGGAAUUUUGAUUUUAUUGAAGACUGACCAAAAGAUAGUUUAUGCAUUUUAUUGCAUUACAAGAACUGCAAACAAAAUUGGAUGACCUAGAAGGAACAAACACUUCUAAGAAUUUCAAAACUUGACGGACAAUAGGGGACGAUGGAUGACCAAGCCAACAGUGUCAAAGAGAGAAAUUAGACAAUUUUGUAGAGAGUGCAAGAGAACCUUUAUUUGAGGAGAAAGAACAAUGUUGAAGAGGCCACUCAUAAACUCCAUCCUUAGGCUUUCCCGUUACUAGAGGUGCUCCCAUGCUGAAAUCCUUCACAACAAAAGAACAUGGUGAGAAUUCAACUGAAACAUUAUUGGUAGAGCAUAAUUAAUAAACAGAAAUAAGGUUCUUUUGCAUGUUAGGAACACAUAAAACAUGUGAUAAAUGUAGAGGUCUAUGAGAAGAGGGUAAGGAUGUGGAGCCAGAGUGAGUCACUCUUAAACUUUUACCAUCACCAAGCAUUAUAUCUUCGGCUCCAUCAUAUUCUGAGUGAAGGGAUAAAUUUUGUAGAUCAUUGGUCACAUGAUGGGAUGCACCAGAGUCAAUUAACCAGUCAGUUGUAUUAUUGGUAGAAGCAAAAUUUGCCCGAGGAACAUUGGUAGAUGAGGAAGAUGGUUGAUUCCCAAGCCAAGGAAAGAUUGCCUGAAGUUUACGACAUUGCUUUACAACAUGACCAAGCUUGUCACAGAGUUGACAAACAACCCGAUUUGUAUUCUGUCUAUUGUUGGAACGUUGAUUUUCAGACUGAGGUGCACGAUUAGAACCAGUAGAUUGACCUUGACCAUUGGAAGGUCAUGGAUUUUUGUUGAUGAGAGUAGCAGAGGAAUUAUUGGCAUGAGUCACUGCAUUGACGGUAACUAGACUGGAAACUGAGAUGGAUUUGCGUUGUAAGUAUGCUUCAUAAUCCACUAGCUUUUCAUAGAGUUCGUCAAAUGAGACCGAAUUAUCUCGUGUACGAAGAGCAUCUGCAAUACCAUUGUACUCGGAAGGCAAGCCAUGGAGCACAUGAAGAGUGAUAUCAUCCAUGGUUAAGGUAGACCCUGCGGAGUUUAAGGUGGUGACCAAAUAUUUAAUGUUCUGCAAGUAGGAAGUCAUGGAUUGAGUUGCUUUUUGUGCAUUGGCAAGAGAUUCCUUUAAGCCAAGUAAACAAGCACGGGAUGGCCUUGCAUAUAAAUUAUACAGUGUUUGCCACACUGCAUAUGUGGUGUCUGAUGCAAACACCUAUUGAACAAUAUCAGAUGAUAAUGAAGCUAUAAUAGCACUGCGAAGCAGUUGAUCUUGACGAUUCCAAUAAUCAGACACCAAUUGGUGUGCUGUUGGUGGUGAAGUAACAUAGGAGGUGAAGCCAUAGCCAAUUAAAGUUGUGUGUGGUAUGUGUGGGAUAGAUGAAGGAGCAAAGCUUAUGUUUGAAUUGGGUAUAUAAAGUUGUGGGAAGAGCUGAUGUGAUAAAGAGGUUAGAGGGAUAAUGGAUGGUGAAACAGAAGUUGUGACAGCAGUGAUUGUCUCGGUGAAGGUGGCAGAAAUGGUGGAGGUGUUUGGAUUGGAUGAUGGAGGUUGAGAAGGGGUGAUGUUGGCCAUGGCUUGGGGAAAAAAAAUUGAUUGUGCCGUUUGGCUAGUGCUCUGAUACCAUAAGAAUACUUGAAAGAAGAUCAUUAUUCAUAAUUUCAUUGAAAAGAAUAAUUGUAAUUUAUACAGGAGAAGAAUCGUAUAUAAGGCAAACCUGAAUAAUAUGGAAAUACAAACAGAAAGGAAAGAUGCUAAUUACAGGGAUGUGACAGCAAACAAUUCCGAUCAGGAAGAUCUUCUCAAUAGGAAAUACAUGCAAAAGGGAAAUAUGUUAAUUAUGGGGAUAUGACAGAAGAUAUCCUUAAUAAUAAGUAUUUUUACCAUCCCUUACCUCACACUUACCAAAAUCCCUAGCUAAUUCCCUCCAUCACACUCUGCUUCCCAAAAGUCUUCUACCCUUUCGGAAGCAAAACCAAAAUGAUUUCUCAAAUCAAAAUGCAAUGCAGUCAGAAGAAGUCGAAUGGAGAAUGGAGAGUGUUGAGGUCAGGUGCCGUUGCAUGCUUCUUGCAGCUGUGAAGAUAG